AUCGAACGCUGGCGGCAGGCCUAACACAUGCAAGUCGAACGAGUGGCGGACGGGUGAGUAAUGUCUGGGAAACUGCCUGAUGGAGGGGGCUAACUACUGGAAACGGUAGCUAAUACCGCAUACCAUCGGAUGUGCCCAGAUGGGAUUAGCUAGUAGGUGGGGUAAAGGCUCACCUAGGCGACGAUCCCUAGCUGGUCUGAGAGGAUGACCCGCCACACUGGAACUGAGACACGGGCCAGACGCCUACGGGAGGCAGCAGUGGGGAAUAUUGCACAAUGGGCGCAAGCCGGAUGCAGCCAGGCCGCGUGUAUGAAGAAGGCCUUCGGGUUGUAAAGUACUUUCAGCGGGGAGGCGUUACCCGCAGAAGAAGCACCGGCUAACUCCGUGCCAGCAGCCGCGGUAAUUC
rnacentral:rRNA from 1 species